GAUGAACGCUGGCGGCGUGCCUAAUACAUGCAAGUCGAGCGAACAGACGAGGAUCUUGCUCCUCUGACGUUAGCGGCGGACGGGUGAGUAACACGUGGAUAACUUACCUAUGAGACUGGGAUAACUUCGGGAAACCGGAGCUAAUACCGGAGAAUAUAUUGAACCGCAUGGUUCAAUAGUGAAAGACGGUUUUGCUGUCACUUAUAGAGGGAUCCGAGCCGCAUUAGCUAGUUGGUAAGGUAACGGCAUACCAAGGCCACGAUGGUUAGCCGACCUGAGAGGGAGAUCGGCCACACUGGAACUGAGACACGGUCGAGACUCCUACGGGAGGCAGCAGUAGGAAAUCUUCCGCAAUGGGCGAAAGCCGGACGUAGCAACGCCGCGUGAGUGAUGAAGGACUUCGGAUCGUAAAGCGCUGUUAUUAGGGAAGAACAAAUGUGUAAGUAACUAUGCACGUCUUGACGGUACCUAAUCAGAAAGCCACGGCUAACUACGUG
rnacentral:rRNA from 1 species